UCAGGACAGAUUGGCGGCUUAUUCCCGAACCCCAUAGAGAGGAUAUUCCUCUGCCAUUGGCCAUGAGUUUCAGUUAAUUGUGACUGCACAAGAAAAUAUAAUUCUUCAUCAUGACCGCAAAAUUAGUCAUAAAGUGUGUGUUCUGCCUCUGCUUCGCUGUAUCGGCCAGCAGCGUCGAAUAUCGACCAGAGGGCGGCCCAGUCUACGUGAACGCAAUUAGCCAUGGAGGCUCCGAAUCAUCUGCCGAAUCAGUCGCUCCAAAAGGAAACUUCCUCACUCAAACUGUCUACGGAUUUUUGGAUUUCACAACGACCAUCGGAAAUACCGUCAUGGUGUUUUCUCCACAGAGCUCGCAGUAGCCGAAGGUAAAUUCUUCGAACUAAAUGAUGAUGCUUUUCUAUCUUUUGAUGAUCGAAUACUCAACUUGCAAGUAAAAUCCGAAAUUC
rnacentral:lncRNA from 1 species